CGUAAGUAAUUAUCCAAUAUUUUAAAUAUUUUUUCGGCGAUAUUUAUUUUUCAUCGAUUUUAAAUUUUUAUUUUUCCCUCCUAUUCCGUCCCUUUUGGCUACACUGUUCUAGGGUUUUUAUUUUGGGAGCUAAAGCGAAUCCCGCAGUCCCGCAGAUGAUUAAAAAUUGUAUAAGAAGUUAACUUAUACAUUUUUCUUUUUAAAUAAAUAAUAAUAGUGAAUAUAAAUAAAUAAAAAUUAAAGUUAACAAUGGAUGCACAUACAAUGAGCAACAGUCGUACGCAUGGUCUUGCAGUCAUUAUAGCAGGCUAAAACACAUCAAGAUAAAACCAUUGUUAUGCAUCAAUGAGCCAUAAAACACCUGAGGCAACAGAAAGCAUGUACUUGGAACUGUGCUCUGAUCAUUCCCUUAUAGUUCUGCACUUUUGGAAACUGGACAUGUAUUAUAUGUAUCAUGAGACAACCACUGGUUAAGAAGGAGGCGAUUGCCAAGGUGUGGCUGGGGCUUAUCCCACCUAAGGAUAUUAGGAACAGUCUCAAGGAUUGCUGAAUUUUUCAUUUGCUGAACAUCAAGCUUAAACUCUGCUUUCAAAAGAUAUACAGCAUACAAAAAGUAUGGCCCAAAUUAUGCUAGGAUACUAUAGGAACAGUCUCAAGGAUUCAUUAUACGUGUACGGUAAAGCUGCUGCUACCUGCUGCUACAUCCGCACGUAUCCUCAAAUUCAUAAUCGACAGCAUCAGUGUGGAGAGCAUCGAGGAACUGCAGAUUUGUAACGAAAAACAGCUUAGCAGUGAGCUUAAGCUCCUCGUCAACAAGCUUAUAAAUGCUACUAUAGUAGCUUAUUUUAAAAUUAAUUUUAGGAGAAUGUGUAGUGUCAAUGUUUUGAGGGGAAGUGAUUACAAUGUCUUUAAAAGAGAAACCAAUAGAGUAUGUAUUAUAAUGAAUUUAAUUUGAUGUUAAAAUAUUUAUUAAAAGUUCGAUCUUGUAGCCAUGAAAAAUAAUGUAUUUAGAAUAAAAAUUCAUAAAUAAAUAUU